CCUACGGGCGGCUGCAGUGGGGAAUAUUGGACAAUGGGCGAAAGCCUGAUCCAGCCAUGCCGCGUGUGUGAAGAAGGCCUUCGGGUUGUAAAGCACUUUCAGUGGGGAAGAAAGCCUUGGGGCUAAUACCCUCGAGGAAGGACAUCACCCACAGAAGAAGCACCGGCUAACUCCGUGCCAGCAGCCGCGGUAAUACGGAGGGUGCGAGCGUUAAUCGGAAUUACUGGGCGUAAAGCGCGCGUAGGCGGUCUGAUAAGCCGGUUGUGAAAGCCCCGGGCUCAACCUGGGAACGGCAUCCGGAACUGUCAGGCUAGAGUGCAGGAGAGGAAGGUAGAAUUCCCGGUGUAGCGGUGAAAUGCGUAGAGAUCGGGAGGAAUAGCAGUGGCGAAGGCGGCCUUCUGGACUGACACUGACGCUGAGGUGCGAAAGCGUGGGUAGCAAACAGGAUUAGAUACCCUAGUAGUC
rnacentral:rRNA from 1 species